AGUGAACGCUGGCGGUAGGCCUAACACAUGCAAGUCGAACGGCAGCACAGUAAGAGCUUGCUCUUACGGGUGGCGGGUGGCGGAGGGGUGAGGAAUACAUCGGAAUCUACUUUUUCGUGGGGGAUAACGUAGGGAAACUUACGCUAAUACCGCAUACUACCUACGGGUGAAAGCAGGGGAUCUUCGGAGCUUGUGCGAUUGAAUGAGCCGAUGUCGGGUUAGCUAGUUGGCGGGGUAAAGGCCCACCAAGGCGACGAUCCGUAGCUGGUCUGAGAGGAGGAUCAGCCACACUGGAACUGAGACAAGGUCCAGACUCCUACGGGAGGCAGCAGUGGGGAAUAUUAGACAAUGGGCGCAAGCCUGAUCCAGCCAUACCGCGUGGGUGAAGAAGGCCUUCGGGUUGUAAAGCCCUUUUGUUGGGAAAGAAAAGCAGCAGGUUAAUACCCCGCUGUUCUGACGGUACCCAAAGAAUAAGCACCGGCUAACUUCGUG
rnacentral:rRNA from 1 species